rnacentral:misc_RNA from 1 species
CCGUAGCCCGACUUGAGUGUAUCCCGAUGUAAAAUCGGGAGGGAACGGAAGGCGGAAAUCGCU